GUGUUCCUUUGGCAGCACAUAUACUAAAAUUACAACUACACAGAUAAGAUUAACAUGAGCCCUGUUCAGAGGAGGCACAAAUUUCUGAAGUGUCCCAUAGUUUA